rnacentral:rRNA from 1 species
AGUCGACUAGCAUGCGAGUCGAUGUAGCAAUACAUGGCGUACUGCUCAGUAACACGCGUACAACCUACCCUUAGGCCUGGGAUAACCCCGGGAAACUGGGAAUAAUACCGGAUAUCUCGCGAAUGCUGGAAUGCGUCGCGAUAGAAAGCUCCGGCGCCUAAGGAUGGGUCUGCGGCCUAUCAGGGUAGUAGUGGGUGUAACGUACCUACUAGCCUACGACGGGUACGGGUUGUGAGAGCAAGAGCCCGGAGAUGGAUUCUGAGACACGAAUCCAGGCCCUACGGGGUGCAGCAGGCGCGAAAACUUUACAAUGCCGGCAACGGCGAUAAGGGGACCUCGAGUGCCAGGAUACAAUCCUGGCUGUCGUAAUGCCUAAAAAGCAUUGCAUAGC